GACGUAGGGCGCGAGCGUUGUCCGGAUUUAUUGGGCGUAAAGAGCUCGUAGGCGGCUCGUUGCGUCGGCUGUGAAAACCCGCAGCUCAACUGUGGGCUUGCAGCUGAUACGGGCGGGCUGGAGUUCGGUAGGGGAGACUGGAAUUCCUGGUGUAGCGGUGAAAUGCGCAGAUAUCUGGAGGAACACCGGUGGCGAAGGCGGCAUCCUGGACCGGCAUUGACGCUGACGGCGCGAAAGCCAGGGGAGCAAAGCGGGG
rnacentral:rRNA from 1 species